UAACUGAUUGUCGGCCAUUUGAAUCCAUGGUAAUAACUAUGCUCAGUCUGUAUGUGUCUGUCCCAAAUCUGGAGCCUAUCAUUCAGUGGUUGUCAUUGGUUGCUGUACAUCAUAUUUGUUUUUAGUUUUUUUUGUGUACAUAAAUGAGGCUGAUAGUGGCCUUGUUUGAAUUGUUUCACAUUUUUCAUUUUGGAGCCUUUUUAUGGAUUAUUAUUGGGUAUAGGUUUUGCUCAUCAUUGAAGGCAAUGCAGAGAUAUCUAGUCAUAAACUUCUGCAUCACUUCCUCUCUGGUGGAGAGUUGUCUCAUUGGUAAUCAUAAUGCAUCAUUUUAUGUUUAAAUGCAAAUUAUGCAAGAUAUUUUGUGUUCUUUAGAAAAAGUUUGGUUUAGAUCAUGCAUGUAGAUUUUAAUUAAAUUAGUGAAAAU
rnacentral:lncRNA from 1 species